rnacentral:lncRNA from 1 species
UAUGAUUCUUAGCUCUGGUAGAUGGACUUGAAAAGCAUUGCAGAGGUCCAAGGGAGCUGCGUUUGUGGAUAAGGGCAAAUUCACUGUAUAGAUAUUGAAAUGCUCAGACACGGGACAGGGAGAAAUUAGGAAAGGUGGACUUUGUCUUUAAGUCACCCGGUAAUUUGUGAUUUACAGCUUUGCUACAUGCAGGGUGAGUGCGCUUACCGCAGAGGGGAUGGGCUGAGAAAUUUCCACAACCUGUUCCUCAAGGAAAAGUACUGAGCGUGAUAGAUUGCAUUUUGAUCUCCAUUGCCGAACAUCUGCGGCCAGAUCCUCAGUUGACUUCUGACCUUCCAUCUUGGGGUGUCUGGCCGUAGUUUAUAUUUCAGCAUUAUUACACAUGCUGUUGCAGGCAGCGUGCUAUUUUCCUCAAAGAGAGGCCUGAGAUUGAUUAAGCUACAGAAUGAUCACUUUUUGUCCCCCUAUAGGGGGAUGUUUUCUGUCUAAGGCUGGAUUCCUCCUGCCCUCAGAACAUUACUCUCUCUCACAUUAAGGAGACAGGACAGCUAUUUUUCAGAGACUGUUGGUUGAUUUAUUAUAUGCUUUCUUCUGAUUUCUUCCAUCCCUUCCACAUUAGAGCAAGUACAGGCUGACUAUCCCUGGAUUUGAGGAACGUUCUGGGAGAAAUCCCUGCCCUGCUGGUGCAAUAAUACAGCCCCCAGGAACUCCAGACUCUUAGAUUUUUCCCCAUGAGGCUGAGUUAUGGUCUGGCACUGGUUGUUCCGCCAGUGUAAUUUCAGUGGAGAUUUUCCAGAUUUACAUCAGUUUUAGUAGAUUUAGAGCUGAUCACCACUUGGAAGACCCUAUUUUAGCUAGCUUAAGAAAAAACUGGUGGAGUAUUUAUUAGGGAAUUAGCACAUCUAGCAUAAGGAUCACAUUUCCUGCAAUAUGCUCCAUCUUCAAGCAUGCAUGUUCUUGGGAGAUGUAGUUCUCUGUAAUUGUUUUAGAGGGUUUUGAAAAACUGUUUUCAAUAAAUAAAAACUGCUCAAGUCAUCAUAUUUUAACCCAGCGGAAAUGUAAGUAUGCAUACACCAACUUUUUGCUGGCAAACCACAAUUCCAGCAUCUUGUUAUCUCACCUAAAAUCUUGAUUGGCCUUCAUGCUAGGGGAAGACUCCAGUUGUCUGUUUGACAAAGCAGCUGAGUUGUUUGCUCUUUCCUGUACGUUUAUCCCACCUCAUCUUUUAGAAAGCCUUCAUUUCCUGAGCUUAUCUUAUUUGUCAAGGUGGUUCCCCCUACCCACUUCUCCCUCUUUACAUUGUUCUUUCUUUUCUGCAAGUUUCCAGCCUCCAGGUCUCAGGGAAAGUACACUGGCAGCUGCUGAAGUGUGUUAUCACUGGACUGCAGGCACUGCCUCUCUGCCUCAUUUUCCUGGUAUCCUCAUCAGCUUCCACAGACCUUAAUCAUUCAUUUUCACAUAAAAGUUUCCUACUGCUGGUGCUAAGUUUCUCAGCUGCACCACAUCUGAACUGUACAAGCUGCUGAGCCAAGAGUGGGUUUGACCUAUUACUCAUGCAGGUGUAGAUCAGGUUAAACCUUGCUUUGAAGUCAAUACCGUUAGUUUAAACCUGGAGCAACCAUAAGAGGGACCUGUCAGUGUGAGGUGAGCUGCCUGCGUCUAUUACUGAUAUGAACACUGAUGUCUCCAGACUGUUUCACAGCUGUUGCUCUUCGCAGAGGGCCAUGACAUGCGAUUCAAUUUAUUUAAGGUACAGAAGGACGUGCUCUGUAGAUUAUUCCAGCAGAUAAGUUUCUUUCUGAGAAACAAGCUCAACCAGGAGAUGUUGCCAUGAAAUCUGGACCUUUUAAGGUAAGUCAAGUAUUUGCAGUAACAGAUGAAAUUUUAUAUGUGUCACUGUGGAACAACAGUGCUAGACAUGACAGGUGAGGCUUCCUUUUG